GGUCGUGUCUUCUGCAACGAUGAUUGGUAUAUGAGUGCCAUCGAUUGCACCAAUUCAAUUCUGCACAAAAGGAAAGAAAUUAAGGACUUGGCACGCAAGGAAAGAAAAGAUUGGAGAAAGGAUUAUGUCUAGUAGUGUUAAUGCCCCACCUGAAAGAAAACAAGGAUCUGUCGCGAUUCCGAUAUGAGUUUGGACAAAACUUGGAAGUCUCACAAAUCGAUGAGUUCAAGCAAGAAUUAUUUCGAAAACUUCUGUUAUUUUCCAAUGGAUCGUCUCGCCGCUGUGUUGAAAAGGUUUCUGUAGCCUUUGGUUGCUAGCAUUGUGUAAGAGCAUGAACAUGAACAUCCCAAGCUGCUCCUCAAUAGCAACACCUCGUGUGUCACGGAGCAAAUUAUCCCUUCUAAGAAAGUCCGCUAUGAUUUUAAAUAUUUCAGGCUCCAUUCGGAACUUAACUUUACACCAACUCGGGUACCCUUCAAGGAUUUCCUUAACCUUUUUGGCACCAGGAAGAGAAGAUGUGUGCACAGGCAUUUUCUCUUCUUGUAAGUAUAGAAUUAUGACAUGAACAAAUACAAGAAAUAGCUCAUCAUCCUCUUCCUCCUCCUCCAACAAGAACUGCCUAACUUGCUCCUCC
rnacentral:lncRNA from 1 species